GUCUCUUGGGAGACAAGUGAUAAAAUUGGAAUGAUACAGAGAAGAUUAGCAUGGCCUUGCACAAGGAUGACACACAUAAAUCGAGAAAUGUUCUUAUGAUUG
rnacentral:snRNA from 1 species